GAUGAACGCUGGCGGCGUGCUUAACACAUGCAAGUCGAGCGAAGUACUUUAAAGUUUUCGGACAGAGAGGUGACUGAGUGGCGGACGGGUGAGUAACGCGUGGGUAACCUGCCUCACACAGGGGGAUAACAGUCAGAAAUGACUGCUAAUACCGCAUAAGCGCACAGUACCGCAUGGUACGGUGUGAAAAACUCCGGUGGUAGUGAGAUGGACCCGCGUCUGAUUAGGUAGUUGGUGGGGUAACGCCAACCAAGCCGACGAUCAGUAGCCGACCUGAGAGGGUGACCGGCACAUUGGGGACUGAGACACGGGCCCAAAACUCCUACGGGAGCAGCAGUGGGGAAUA
rnacentral:rRNA from 1 species